CCCGUUGUUGGAGGAUUUGAUGAGAGACGGCAGUGAUGGUGCUGCUCUCUUAGCUGUGAUUCACUAUUAUUGUCCAGAGCAGAUGAAACUGGAUGAUAUAUGCUUAAAGGAGGUAACGUCGAUGGCCGACAGUCUGUAUAAUAUUCGGCUUCUGAGAGAAUUCUCCAAUGAAUAUCUUAAUAAAUGUUUUUAUCUCACCUUGGAAGAUAUGCUGUAUGCGCCGUUAGUGUUGAAGCCGAAUGUUAUGGUUUUUAUUGCGGAGCUUUUUUGGUGGUUCGAGAAUGUCAAGCCAGAUUUUGUUCAGCCCAGGGAUGUUCAGGAGCUGAAAGACGGUGAGUGACAGAUAUUCCCCAGGUUGGCAAUGGUUUCCUUGAGAGCCUAGAAUAUCAGAAAGCACUCUCCAGUGGUUCCAUGUUUCUCGCACAGCAGAGUUCUUGGAAGAGCCUGUGGAGUCAGAAUCCCAGGGACGGGCGUGAGAGUUUGGGGAAAGGCUUUCUAAGUGAUUUUGAUGAACUAUUCGGUUACGAAUCACAGCUCUAAAAAUUGCACAACUCUAAAAGUUCCAGGAUGGCUGUUCUCACCUCCAGAAUGAACAAACUGAAAAAAAAAUA
rnacentral:sRNA from 1 species